rnacentral:rRNA from 1 species
AUUGAACGCUGGCGGCAGACCUAACACAUGCAAGUCGAGGGGUAGAGGUUGCUUGCAACCUUGAGACCGGCGCACGGGUGCGUAACGCGUAUGCAAUCUGCCUUGUACUGAGGGAUAGCCCAGUGAAAUUUGGAUUAAUACCUCAUAGUAUCUUUUCCCGGCAUCGGGAGAUUAUUAAAGUUCCAACGGUGCAAGAUGAGCAUGCGUCCCAUUAGCUAGUUGGUAUGGUAACGGCAUACCAAGGCAAUGAUGGGUAGGGGUCCUGAGAGGGAGAUCCCCCACACUGGUACUGAGACACGGACCAGACUCCUACGGGAGGCAGCAGUGAGGAAUAUUGGUCAAUGGGCGCAAGCCUGAACCAGCCAUGCCGCGUGCAGGAUGAAGCAUCUAUGGUGUGUAAACUGCUUUUAUACGGGAAGAAACACCGGUUCGUGAACCGGCUUGACGGUACCGUAAGGAUAAGGAUCGGCUAACUCCGUGCCAGCCGCCGCAGUAA